rnacentral:rRNA from 1 species
AUGGAGAAUCAAGAUCCAAACAAGGCAAAUGUCACACCUAGCUGGAAACCUCAACUUGGCAUGAAAUUCGAUAAUUUGGAUGAGGCAUGGGACUUUUGGAGGUACUAUGGAGGAAGAAUGGGAUUCAGUGUUAGAAAGAGGUUUACAAAUCGGAGUAAAUUUGAUGGUGUAGUGACUUCAUGCAGAUAUGUAUGUUUCAAAGAGGGGAAGAAGUCUGCAGAUAAAAGAGAGAACCUAACUAAGACAGGCCGAGCUGAAAUUAGAACUGAUUGUGAGGUCCGUAUGUCUCUUACAAUAGACCGUGAAGUCGGAAAUUAUGAAAUAUAUGAUCUUUGUCUUGAACAUAAUCACAUGCUUCAGCUGCCAGAAGCAUGCCACUUGUUGCCAUCACAAAGAAGGAUCUCUAAAGUGCAAGCUUUUGAAAUUGAAAUAGCUGAUGACUCUGGUAUUGCACCAAAAAAUGCUCAUGAAUUUGCUAGUCGACGUGUUGGUGGAUCAGCUGGUUUAACUUACACACGCGUAGAUCACAAGAACCACUUGCGAACAAAGCGCCAAAGAGAAUUGAAGUAUGGUGAGGCUGGAAGUAUGUUGAAGUAUUUUCAAGACAAAGCCAUUGAGAAUCCUUCCUUUCAAUUUGUUAUACAGUUGGACAGUGAGGAACAAAUAACAAAUAUAUUCUGGGCUGAUGCCAAAAUGAUCAUAGAUUAUGCUCAUUUUGGUGAUGUUAUGACCUUUGACACUACUUUUGGGACAAAUAAAGAGUACAUGCCAUUUGGUGUGUUUGUUGGAUUCAAUCAAUUCAGAGAAACAAUAGUAUUUGGUGCUUCACUUCUCUAUGACGAGACAUUCGAAUCUUUGAAAUGGCUAUUUCAUGCCUUAUUGUCGGUAGAUAACCAGAAGCAGCCACGCACCAUAUUUACUGACCAAGAUAGUGCUAUGGGGAAGGCAAUUGGGCAUGUUUUUUCAGAGUCAAUACAUGGGCUGUGCACUUUCCACAUUAUGCAAAAUGCUAUCAAGCACCUACCCAGCAAAGAGAAUAGUGAAGACAACGAAGACAAUGUGGAUGAGGGAGAUAAUGAGGAAAAUGAAUCAUCUCUUCUCAAAGAUUUCAGUGCUUGUAUGUUUGAAUACGAAGACCGAGAAACAUUUGAAGAUGCUUUUAAUGUUAUGAGAACCAAAGUGAAAAAGCAAACUUGGAUGGAUAGUAUUUAUAAGGUAAAGGAGAAGUGGGCAGAAUGUUUUAUGAGAGAUGCUUUCACUUUGGGAAUGCAAAGCACACAACUGAGUGAAAGUUUGAACAAUGACCUCAAGAAUCAUCUCAAGUCAGAUUUAGAUAUCAACCGCUUUUUUCAUCAUUUUGAAAGAGCCGUGAAAGUGAAAAGAGACACUGAGAUAAAUUUAGAGUACGAGUCUAGGAAGAGUCUACCUAGAAUCAAAAUCCCCACACCAAUGUUGCAACAAGUCAGUAGUCUUUAUACUCCUGCUAUAUUUGAAGCUUUUCAAACCGAAUAUGGGAGGUCAAUGGUGUUAGGUUUUGUAGAAGCGUCUCAACCCCCGUAA